AAAAAAAAAAACUUUCAAAAAAUGAACUGGUCCUUGGCCAUGGUGGAAGCUGAGGCAAGAAGAUUGCUACCAAUUCAAAGCUGGCAUGAGCUGCAUAGUGAGGUUCAAGGCACUUGGGCUACAGAAAGAGACUGUUUGAAAAGGUAAAGUGGGGUGUCUCUCAUUGGUAUAGCACAAGUCAGGCAGCCUCUGUAGGUUAUAUAUAAGACCUGUACUGGCUGGUUCAUGAAAAUUGUUCCUUUAAUUCCUUUGUUAUAUGUAGGCUCCUUGAAGUCCGAGGAAGGCUCUAUGAGCUUCUAACUCACUGUAUUCCUCCUGAGAUAAUCAUGAAGGGCCUGCUCUCAGAGCUCUUACACAACUGUGAUGGGCAGCUGAAAGGGGAUGUGGCGCAGAUGGCGGCCUACUAUGAACAUCGACUGCAGCUGGGCAGCAAAGCCAUUUAUCACUUGGAGGCAUUUGUGGCCAAGUUUAUGGCACUUUAUAAGAAGUUCAUGGAGGAUGGACUGGAAGGCAUGAUGUUCUGAUCCAGCUAGUGGCUCCUCCCAGUACCUCAGAAGUCACAUUUAUACAGAUUUGUGCUGGGGCUGUGGGUUUAAUAAACUAGCUUUAUUUACUAAAUUA